AUUCCGGUUGAUCCUGCCGGAGGCCAUUGCUAUCGGAGUUCGACUUAGCCAUGCUAGUCGCGCGGGUUUAGACCCGCGGCAAAUAGCUCAGUAACACGUGGCCAAACUGCCCUACAGAUCGGAAUAACCUCGGGAAACUGAGGCUAAUGCCGAAUAGGACUUUCAGGUUGGAGUGCCGAGAGUUCGAAACGCUACGGCGCUGUAGGAUGUGGCUGCGGCCGAUUAGGUAGACGGUGGGGUAACGGCCCACCGUGCCGAUAAUCGGUACAGGUUGUGAGAGCAAGAGCCUGGAGACGGAAUCUGAGACAAGAUUCCGGGCCCUACGGGGCGCACAGGCGCGAAACCUUUACACUGCACGACAGUGGAAUAGGGGAACUCCGAGUGCGAGGGCAUAGAGCCCUCGCUUUUCCACACCGUAAAGUGGUGCGGGAACAAGUGCUGGGCAAGACCGGUGUCAGCCGCCGCGGUAAUACCGGCAGCACAAGUGAUGGCCGAUUUUAUUGGGCCUAAAGCGUCCGUAGCUGGCCGUGCAAGUCUGUCGGGAAAUCCAGUGGCUCAACCUCUGGGCUUCCGGCGGAAACUGCUCGGCUUGGGACCGGAAGACUCGAGGGGUACGUUCGGGGUAGGAGUGAAAUCCUGUAAUCCUGAACGGACCACCGAUGGCGAAAGCACCUCGAGAGCACGGAUCCGACAGUGAGGGACGAAAGCUAGGGUCUCGAACCGGAUUAGAUACCCGGGUAGUCCUAGCUGUUAACGAUGCCCGCUCGGUUCGGCGCAGGCUACGAGCCUGUGCCGCGCCUCAGUGAAGACGGUAAGCGGGCCGCCUGGGAAGUACGUCCGCAAGGAUGAAACUUAAAGGAAUUGGCGGGGGAGCACUACAACCGGAGGAGCCUGCGGUUUAAUUGGACUCAACGCCGGACAUCUCACCAGCACCGACAACGGUAAUGAUGGUCAGGUUGAUGACCUUACCCGACGCCGUUGAGAGGAGGUGCAUGGCCGCCGUCAGCUCGUACCGUGAGGCAUCCUGUUAAGUCAGGCAACGAGCGAGACCCGCGUCCGUAAUUGCCAGCAGCACCCUUGUGGUGGCUGGGUACAUUACGGAGACUGCCACGGCUAACGUGGAGGAAGGAACGGGCAACGGUAGGUCAGCAUGCCCCGAAUGUGCUGGGCAACACGCGGGCUACAAUGGCCUGGACAGUGGGUUGCAACACCGAGAGGUGGCGCUAAUCCCCUAAACCGGGUCGUAGUUCGGAUUGAGGACUGAAACUCGUCCUCAUGAAGCUGGAUUCGGUAGUAAUCGCGUGUCAGAAGCGCGCGGUGAAUACGUCCCUGCUCCUUGCACACACCGCCCGUCAAAUCACCCGAGUGGGGUCCGGAUGAGGCCAUCAUGCGAUGGUCGAAUCUGGGUCCGCAAGGGGGAUUAAGUCGUAACAAGGUAGCCGUAGAGGAAUCUGCGGCUGGAUCACCUCCU
rnacentral:rRNA from 2 species